GCAUUUAUAGUAAAUUUCACAUUUUAUUUGUGCAGCCACUGGCGUUCUGGCUGCACAAAUUAAAUUUGAAUGAAAAAAGAAGAAUAUUAAAAAUAAUACAUGACUUCAUCGUUAUGUUUGUGUACUUCACAAUCCAUUGAACGUUGAAGUUAUUUACAUGUUUUGGUGGAUCGGGAAGUUAAAAAAGAAGAAGAAGACGAAUGUCAUCCACAGUCUUUAGGAGGAAUUUGAGUAUAUUAAGUGGAUCGAAGGAGAGUAGAAGAAGGUAGAGGGCGGUAAAUGAAGUUUAAGGGUGCUCGACACUCCAAGGAUAAGAGGAGGAAGAAGAAGAAGAAGAAGAAUCACCAGAGUUAAAGAAGAAAGAAGAAGAAAACGAACGUCCCCCGCAGUCCGUAGGAGGACCAAUAAAAGUUCAAAUAACGACACAUGCGCACUGGACAUGAUCCGAUGGAGGUAGGUAAUAAUAGUAAAAAUUAAAGUAAAGCUCCAAAAGUCUGUCAGAGUGAGCUUUCUGUACUGUAAGCGCGAUUGCGUGUCAGUGUGAGCGCUCGCUGUGAUUUUUGUUUAAUAAGGGAUCUUUGCCGCAUGUUUGGCUCGGUAAAGUUUGCUUUUUUUCGCUGCGACAUUAGUUCGGAGAAGCUCCGUGUGUGUGCUGGAAGUGCGCUGAACGUUUGUGCUUUAGAGAAUUUUCGACUUUGUGGCAAGAGGACCCUUCUCUCUUCCACCGCAUGCAUAGUAUCCGGAGCAUAAACCAGGACCCAGCUGGACUUCAUGAUGAGCCUGUCCAGCCUCUCAGUGAUGCUGCUGCAUUGUCAAAACAUCAAAGAAUAGAUGACUCCAUUCCUGGACCGGGACGUUUCCAACCUGUUCUCCUCUUCCAACCCCCCACCUCUCCACUCACCGCAACUGGCCAUGGCAGAUGACUAUUCAACAGGAGUCUUGUUCUGAUUGCAGUCCCUUCCAUUAAACAGCUACAACUGCAGCUUUGUGCUCCUACUGUGAUCCUUCCUGUAGAUUUGCUUUUGAGAACAUUUGUCGUAAUUUUGUAACAUAUUACCGUAAGGGACCAAAGAGUGUGUGGAUAAAUCAUUCAACUUUUGGUCAGAUAUUAAGGUCAAUACUAAUGAGAGAGUUCAGACUUUGAAGCUUUUCUUCUUGCGGGUUUGCGCAUCUGGUGGGUUUGAAUCACACAUGGUUCAUCUAGAAAUAUUUUGAAAAUUUUCACUGCGCUUUAUCAUAAGUUAUUGUCCUGUUAGUAAAGCCACACAACCGUUCUAGUGCAGUGUAUUUAUUAUGUUAAGAGCUACAUGUCUGAAAAUUCAUGAGAGGUUGAUGGUUGCAAAAAACACACAAUCUACUGCUCCGAGGCAAUCGCUUAUGUUUGUCAUUUUCUAUAUUAUCAAAGCAUACAGCUAAUUUAUGAUACUGUCAUUGUCACUUUAUUUGCGCG
rnacentral:lncRNA from 1 species